rnacentral:tRNA from 1 species
GAGGGGAUAGCUCAGUGGUAGAGUGCAUGCUUAGCACGCACGAGGUCCUGGGUUCAAUACCCAGUACCUCCU